rnacentral:rRNA from 1 species
AAUGAACGUUGGCGGCGUGGAUUAGGCAUGCAAGUCGUUCGUCCCGCAAGGGACGAGGCGCAAGGGUGAGUAAGGCGACGGCAACCAACCCCCCGAUUGGGCAUAGCCGCGGGAAACUGCGGGUAAUACCCAGCGACGUCACCCCGGGACAUCCCGGGGCGACCAAAGGUGCGAUUCCGUCGGGGGACGGGCCGUCGUGGUAUCAGCUAGUUGGUGGGGUGACGGCCCACCAAGGCUAUGACGCCUACCGGGCGUGCGAGCGUGGCCCGGCACACUGGGACUGAGACACUGCCCAGACUCCUACGGGAGGCUGCAGUCGAGAAUCUUCGGCAAUGGGCGCAAGCCUGACCGAGCGACGCCGCGUGGAGGACGAAGGCCUUCGGGUUGUAAACUCCUGUCGAGGGGGAACAAGGGCCGGUGCAGAACCGGCCUUGAGUGAACCCUGGAGGAAGCACGGGCUAAGUUCGUGCCAGCAGCCGCAGUAAAAC